UUAAUAUGCCGAUAUUCACUACAGAUUAUCAUUGUCAAUUUGGCUUUUACACGUUUUAUUAUUAUUUGUUUUCAAUGCGUAUAUUUUACGAAUAUCGUCUAUUAACCAUGAAUAUGUGUUUUCAUUAUGAAUGUAGAUAUUUUGUUGGCGUUCUGAAAGAGCUUUACGCCCUCGGCACGCUACUGUGAUAAUACCGCGAUGAUACCGUACAAUAUAGUACACUCCGAAACCAUUUUGAUGAUACCCAAACGAUAUUAAUGUAAACUUUAUACAUUUUUGUAAUCGCUUAACAGUACACUUAU